rnacentral:rRNA from 1 species
AGAGUUUGAUCCUGGCUCAGAACGAACGCUGGCGGCAUGCCUAACACAUGCAAGUCGAACGAAGGCCUCAGGCUUGCCUGAGAUACCUUAGUGGCGGACGGGUGAGUAACGCGUAGGAAUCUGCCUGAUAGUGGGGGAUAGCCCGAAGAAAUUCGGAUUAAUACCGCAUAAUCUAUUCGUAGUAAAGUGGGGGACUUUCGAGCCUCACGCUAUCAGAUGAGCCUGCGUAAGAUUAGCUAGUUGGUAGGGUAAAAGCCUACCAAGGCUACGAUCUUUAGCUGGUCUGAGAGGAUGAUCAGCCACAUCGGGACUGAGACACGGCCCGAACUCCUACGGGAGGCAGCAGUGGGGAAUAUUGGACAAUGGGGGCAACCCUGAUCCAGCAAUACCGCGUGUGUGAAGAAGGCCUGAGGGUUGUAAAGCACUUUCAAUUGUGAAGAAAAGUUAACGGUUAAUAACCGUUAGCCUUGACGUUAACUUUAGAAGAAGCACCGGCUAACUCCGUGCCAGCAGCCGCGGUAAUACGGAGGGUGCAAGCGUUAAUCGGAAUUACUGGGCGUAAAGCGUGCGUAGGCGGUUUAUUAAGUCAGAUGUGAAAGCCCCGGGCUUAACCUGGGAACUGCAUUUGAAACUGGUCAACUAGAGUAUGGUAGAGGAAAGUGGAAUUUCUGGUGUAGCGGUGAAAUGCGUAGAUAUCAGAAGGAACAUCAAUGGCGAAGGCAGCUUUCUGGACCAAUACUGACGCUGAGGUACGAAAGCGUGGGUAGCAAACAGGAUUAGAUACCCUGGUAGUCCACGCCGUAAACGAUGAUAACUAGCCGUUGGGGGGAUUUACCCUUUAGUGGCGAAGCUAACGCGUUAAGUUAUCCGCCUGGGGAGUACGGCCGCAAGGCUAAAACUCAAAGGAAUUGACGGGGACCCGCACAAGCGGUGGAGCAUGUGGUUUAAUUCGAUGCAACGCGAAGAACCUUACCUGGUCUUGACAUCCUGCGAACUUUCUAGAAAUAGAUUGGUGCCUUCGGGAACGCAGUGACAGGUGCUGCAUGGCUGUCGUCAGCUCGUGUCGUGAGAUGUUGGGUUAAGUCCCGUAACGAGCGCAACCCCUAUCCUUAUUUGCCAGCACGUCAUGGUGGGAACUAUAAGGAGACUGCCGGUGAUAAACCGGAGGAAGGCGGGGACGACGUCAAGUCAUCAUGGCCCUUACGACCAGGGCUACACACGUGCUACAAUGGGAAGGACAAAGAGCCGCGAAGCCGCGAGGUGUAGCUAAUCUCAGAAACCUUUUCGUAGUCCGGAUUGGAGUCUGCAACUCGACUCCAUGAAGUCGGAAUCGCUAGUAAUCGUAGAUCAGAAUGCUACGGUGAAUACGUUCCCGGGUCUUGUACACACCGCCCGUCAUACCAUGGGAGUGGGUUGCACCAGAAGUGGCUAGUCUAACUUAGUGAGGACGGUCACCACGGUGUGAUUCAUGACUGGGGUAAAGUCGUAACAAGGUAACC